rnacentral:rRNA from 1 species
GACGAACGCUGGCGGCGUGCUUAACACAUGCAAGUCGAACGAAGAGCGAUGGAAGCUUGCUUCUAUCAAUCUUAGUGGCGCACGGGUGAGUAACGCGUAAUCAACCUGCCCUUCAGAGGGGGACAACAGUUGGAAACGACUGCUAAUACCGCAUACGAUCUAAUCUCGGCAUCGAGGAUAGAUGAAAGGUGGCCUCUACAUGUAAGCUAUCACUGAAGGAGGGGAUUGCGUCUGAUUAGCUAGUUGGUGGGGUAACGGCCCACCAAGGCGAUGAUCAGUAGCCGGUCUGAGAGGAUGAACGGCCACAUUGGGACUGAGACACGGCCCAGACUCCUACGGGAGGCAGCAGUGGGGAAUCUUCCGCAAUGGACGAAAGUCUGACGGAGCAACGCCGCGUGAGUGAUGACGGCCUUCGGGUUGUAAAGCUCUGUUAAUCGGGACGAAAGGCCUUCUUGCGAAUAGUGAGAAGGAUUGACGGUACCGGAAUAGAAAGCCACGGCUAACUACGUG